AGUUCUCCAGGCGCAGUGCGCGCAGGCGUGGGCAGCAGCGCAGCAGGCGCGCCAGGCAGUCGUCGGUAACGUGGCCGCAGCCCGAGAGCGUGACGGACGCCAGGUUGGGGCACCUGUGAGGAGAGUGCGGUGACCCGGGGCUCACUGGCUUGUUAAAGCUACCCAACCGCCCCAUGGGACCGAGUGGACUCAUUUACCGAGGAGGACUCGGGCCCUGCGAGGUGAAGACACUUGGCUGCGAUGACACUGCAGGGUUCCAAGUCGGCUUUCUGGCCGGCCCAUUUUCCCUCCUCUUUCUGCCCCUGCACCCCACCGUACCUUCAUCUGCGUGGGUUCUUGGCUCGUAGCCUUGGGAGCCCCUAGUGGGAAGCCCCGACCCCGGCCCAGCAGAGUCCUGGGGCGGCUGUGGACAGAGGGAAUGCCGGUUCCAGGAGCCACAACCCUUGACUCUUUGUUUCGCUCUGGAUGUGCUGCCUUGCAGGGGAGCGGUGCUUGGCGAUUGCUCCAGUCUAGCUUCAAGCUGAGGCCCCUGAAUGUCCCGGCGGGACGUGAGUGGGAAGAGGGAUUUGUUUCCUUGGAGGUGGCCUAGUGACAGGCCCAUCCCAACCCUCAAGGCGGUGGGGGCACGCGUUAGCAUUGAGUCCGGGUUCAGCUUAGUAGACUAGAGCUGUUCCUGCAUCCCCUGGGCCACCAGCCUGGAAAAGGGUAGGGUUCGGAGGCAGCUAGAGGCAAGCCCUGAGCAGGUACAGUCACGGACACCCACCCAGGUCGCUUGGCCAGAAAGCUUGGGGGACCCUCUGCUGCAGCCUCACCAGCCCCUCCCAGCAAAGAAAAGAUCUUGAGCCAAGUUAGACUUGGUUUAUCGCCGUGUCAGUCACUCACGGAGCCUUCAUUUCCUCUGCGUGGGGGGAAUAAUGUCUACCACUGGGGUUGUGAGGAGCCUGCAACGGGGCCUUCCACAGGCAGUCCUAACCCGCUUUCCCUGGAAACAAACGGGACCAGCCUGCUUCCAGUCCAGAAGGACCGACUAAUGGGCCGGGGCCUUGGCUCCCCGCAGCCAGAGGGAGCUAGAGUCUGGGCUGGGGAAGCGUUUCCCUUUCCCUGCCAGCCUCCCCCGCAGCUCCGUGACUGCCCCUGGCUGUGCCAGCUCGGCUCCUUUGUGCCAGGGGAGGGAAGUAAGGAACUUAAAUAUGUUGGGUGCAGCCAGGUGUCACACCGAGCCCGGGCCUCCUUCAGGUUUGUGUGCCCUCAUUAGUCACCCCGUCAACCUCUGCACCCCCAGUUUUGUACAUGAAGAAACUGGCUCCGGCAGCUCAGGUGACUGGCUGGUGACUUAUUUGCUGUCAGACCCAGGACAGAUGUCUGAACCUUGCUGGGCGUCACUUCCUCAUUUGUCAAGUGGGAGGAAUUGUUACCUUCAAGGUGGUUAUAAGGAUUAGGUGUUUAAGCCUCAAAGGUGUUGGGUGAUCUUUUCUUCUAAGAAUCUUUGGAAUAAUUCUGAUACAGGGAAAAAACAAAGAGCGGACUGUCCCCCUGCCCAGCCAUCCUCAGCCAUUCCUCCCGACCUGAGCUGAGUGCCAGAAGAACCAGAUUCAGUAGACGUUCAUCAGUACCUACUAUGUGCCAGGUCACUUCAUCCUGGCCCAGGUACUGCAGCUCCAAAUCGUGGGGAUUCUGUAAGAGCUUGCUACCUGUUGACUGAGGAGGCCCACGAGUUGAGCAAAAAGAAUGAUUCCUCAGCAGUCAUUGUGAAAUUUUGUGGGCCACAAGUAUUGUGCACACAUGAUCCUUGAUUUAGAGUCAACCUGAUGUCCAUUAUAGCUGUGGAAAGGCAGCAGGCAGUUGUGUCGCUCUUCACAAUAAGGAACACAUCUUGCUUUCAGCAUGUGAGAGGAACAAAAGCAUUGAUGUAAAUGUGCCUCAAAGUGAGAACUGAAAACAUUAACAUAAAAUAAAAAAGUCAAAUAAGACUAAGUUCUUACAA
rnacentral:lncRNA from 1 species